UACAGAGGUCUCAAGCGUUGUUCGGAUUCAUUGGGCGUAAAGGGUGUGUAGGUGGCGCCGUAAGUCGGGUGUGAAAUUUCGGAGCUUAACUCCGAAACUGCAUUCGAUACUGCGGUGCUUGAGGACUGGAGAGGAGACUGGAAUUCCUGGUGUAGCGGUGAAAUGCGCAGAUAUCAGGAGGAACACCGGUGGCGAAGGCGGGUCUCUGGGCCGAUACUGACGCUGAGGCGCGAAAGCGUGGGGAGCAAACAGG
rnacentral:rRNA from 1 species